CAAUAGAUACCCAGGUAGUCCUAGCCGUAAACGAUGAGCACUGGGUUGAAGGGUCCUCCAUAGCCUUUCAGCCGUAGCGAAAGUGUUAAGUGCUCCGCCUGGGGAGUAUGGUCGCAAGGCUGAAACUCAAAGAAAUUGACGGGGGCUCACACAAGCGGUGGAGGAUGUGGCUUAAUUCGAGGCUACGCGAAGAACCUUAUCCUAGUCUUGACAUGCACGGAUUAACUCCCUGAAAGGGGAGCCACGCCUUCGGGUGGAACGUGCACAGGUGCUGCAUGGCUGUCGUCAGCUCGUGCUGUGAAGUGUCGGGUUAAGUCCCUUAACGAGCGAACCCUUGUCGCUAGUUGCCAGCGAGUCAUGUCGGGGACUCUAGCGAGACCGCCGGUGUUAAACCGAAGGAAGGUGGGGAUGACGUCAAGUCCUCAUGGCCUUUAUGACUAGGGCUGCACACGUCCUACAAUGGCAUGCACAAAGGGACGCAAAGUCGCGAGACCAAGCAAAAUCCCAAAAAACCAUGCCCCAGUUCGGAUU
rnacentral:rRNA from 1 species